AACAAGGCGUACCUGCGGACCUGCGGAGGAUCAUUACAAGUGACCCCGGUUUACCACCGGGAUGUUCAUAACCCUUUGUUGUCCGACUCUGUUGCCUCCGGGGCGACCCUGCCUUCGGGCGGGGGCUCCGGGUGGACACUUCAAACUCUUGCGUAACUUUGCAGUCUGAGUAAACUUAAUUAAUAAAUUAAAACUUUCAACAAUGGAUCU
rnacentral:misc_RNA from 1 species